GAUGAACGCUGGCGGCGUGCUUAACACAUGCAAGUCGAACGAUGACCUCCAGCUUGCUGGGGUGAUUAGUGGCGAACGGGUGAGUAACACGUGAGUAACCUGCCCUUAACUCUGGGAUAAGCCUGGGAAACUGGGUCUAAUACCGGAUAUGACUCCUCAUCGCAUGGUGGGGGGUGGAAAGCUUUUUGUGGUUUUGGAUGGACUCGCGGCCUAUCAGCUUGUUGGUGAGGUAAUGGCUCACCAAGGCGACGACGGGUAGCCGGCCUGAGAGGGUGUCCGGCCACACUGGGACUGAGAUACGGCCCAGACUCCUACGGGAGGCAGCAGUGGGGAAUAUUGCACAAUGGGCGCAAGCCUGAUGCAGCGACGCCGCGUGAGGGAUGACGGCCUUCGGGUUGUAAACCUCUUUCGACAGGGACGAAGCGUGAGUGACGGUACCUGGAGAAGAAGCGCCGCCAACUACGUGCCAGCAGCCGCGGUAAGACGUAGGGCGCGAGCAUUGUCCGGAUUUAUUGGGCGUAAAGAGCUCGUAGGCGGCUUGUUGCGUCAGCUGUGAAAACCCGCAGCUCAACUGUGGGCUUGCAGCUGAUACGGGCAGGCUUGAGUUCGGUAGGGGAGACUGGAAUUCCUGGUGUAGCGGUGAAAUGCGCAGAUAUCAGAGGAACACCGGUGGCGAAGGCGGGUCUCUGGGCCGAUACUGACGCUGAGGAGCGAAAGCGUGGGGAGCGAACAGGAUUAGAUACCCUGGUAGUCCACGCUGUAAACGUUGGGCGCUAGGUGUGGGGGGCCUCUCCGGUUCUCUGUGCCGCAGCUAACGCAUUAGCGCCCGCCUGGGGAGUACGGCGCAGGCUAA
rnacentral:rRNA from 1 species